rnacentral:tRNA from 1 species
UCUUCCCUAGCUUAAAUUAAAGCGUUAGUUUGAAGAGCUGGAGAUACUUUGGGUGGGGGGAA